rnacentral:rRNA from 1 species
CUAGUGUAGAGGUGAAAUUCGUAGAUAUUAGAAAGAAUACCAAUUGCGAAGGCAGCUUUCUGGAUCAUUACUGACACUGAGGAACGAAAGCAUGGGUAGCGAAGAGGAUUAGAUACCCUCGUAGUCCAUGCCGUAAACGAUGUGUGUUAGACGUUGGAAAUUUAUUUUCAGUGUCGCAGCGAAAGCGAUAAACACACCGCCUGGGGAGUACGACCGCAAGGUUAAAACUCAAAUGAAUUGACGGGGACCCGCACAAGUAGUGGAGCAUGUGGUUUAAUUCGAAGAUACGCGCAGAACCUUACCAACACUUGACAUGUUCGUCGCGACUCUAAGAGAUUAGAGUUUUCGGUUCGGCCGGACGAAACACAGGUGCUGCAUGGCUGUCGUCAGCUCGUGUCGUGAGAUGUUGGGUUAAGUCCCGCAACGAGCGCAACCCUCACUUUUAGUUGCCAUCAUUUAGUUGGGCACUCUGAAAGAACUGCCAGUGAUAAGCUGGAGGAAGGUGGGGAUGACGUCAAGUCCUCAUGGCCCUUACGUGUUGGGCUACACACGUGCUACAAUGGUAUCUACAACAGGAAGCAAGACUGCGAGGUCAAGCAAAUCCUUAAAAGAUACCUCAGUUCGGAUUGCACUCUGCAACUCGAGUGCAUGAAGCUGGAAUUACUAGUAAUCGUGGAUCAGCGUGCCACGGUGAAUGCGUUCCCGGGUCUUGUACACACCGCCCGUCACACCAUGGGAGUUGGUUCUACCUUAAGGCAAGGUUUAAAACCCUUGACCACGGUAUAGUCAGCGACUGGGGUGAAGUCGUAACAAGGUAGCCGUACGGGAACCUGC